rnacentral:rRNA from 1 species
GAUGAAUGCUGGCGGCGUGCCUAACACAUGCAAGUCGAGCGGCAGCGAGGGGUGCUUGCACCCUGUCGGCGAGCGGCGAACGGCUGAGUAACGCGUAGGAAUUUGCCCCAAAGUGAGGAAUAACUGCCCGAAAGGGUAGCUAAUGCCGCAUAUGGUCUUCGGAUUAAAGGAUUUAUCCGCUUUGGGAGAAGCCUGCGUUGGAUUAGGUUGUUGGUAGGGUAAUGGCCUACCAAGCCGACGAUCCAUAGCUGGUCUGAGAGGAUGAUCAGCCAGACUGGAACUGAGACACGGUCCAGACUCCUACGGGAAGCAGCAGUGAGGAAUCUUCCACAAUGGGCGAAAGCCUGAUGGAGCAACGCCGCGUGAAGGAUGAAGGCCUUCGGGUUGUAAACUUCUUUUAUGAGUGAAGAAUAUGACGGUAACUCGUGAAUAAGCACCGGCUAACUACGUG